CUCGUAGGUGGUUUGUCGCGUUGUUCGUGAAAACUCACAGCUCAACUGUGGGCGUGCGGGCGAUACGGGCAGACUGGAGUACUGCAGGGGAGACUGGAAUUCCUGGUGUAGCGGUGGAAUGCGCAGAUAUCAGGAGGAACACCGGUGGCGAAGGCGGGUCUCUGGGCAGUAACUGACGCUGAGGAGCGAAAGCGUGGGGAGCAAACA
rnacentral:rRNA from 1 species